GACGAACGCUGGCGGCGUGCUUAACACAUGCAAGUCGAACGGAAAGGCCCUGCUUUUGUGGGGUGCUCGAGUGGCGAACGGGUGAGUAACACGUGAGUAACCUGCCCUUGACUUUGGGAUAACUUCAGGAAACUGGGGCUCAUAUCGGAUAGGAGCUCCUGCUGCAUGGUGGGGGUUGGAAAGUUUCGGCGGUUGGGGAUGGACUCGCGGCUUAUCAGCUUGUUGGUGGGGUAGUGGCUUACCAAGGCUUUGACGGGUAGCCGGCCUGAGAGGGUGACCGGCCACAUUGGGACUGAGAUACGGCCCAGACUCCUACGGGAGGCAGCAGUGGGGAAUAUUGCACAAUGGGCGGAAGCCUGAUGCAGCAACGCCGCGUGCGGGAUGGCGGCCUUCGGGUUGUAAACCGCUUUCGCCUGUGACGAAGCGUGAGUGACGGUAAUGGGUAAAGAAGCACCGGCUAACUACGUG
rnacentral:rRNA from 1 species